AGGAAGUUCUUUGACAGAGAGCAGAAUAGAGUAAAUAUUUGGGAGAGUGUUUCCCUAAAUAUUUUACUAUAUGCAGCUUAUUUCAUCUUGGAAGUUAACAAUAAUUAACAGAAUGCACCAGGUGAGUUCAUAAGAUUUAUUUAUUUUCAAACAGUAGUCUAUAAUUAUUACAUUUAACAAUGUCAAAACUAGAACAAUGGAUUCUAACAGGAAGCAGGUGGUUUAGUUUUCACUGUGUAAUGCAACAAAUGAUUUUUACUUCAUGUCAUUUUGUACCACUGCAACUAUUAUGCAGCUGCAAUUUCUAAUUUAUCAUGCUUUUAAUUUAUUAGAAGGAAAAUUGGAUAUUCUGUUUAAAUGAAAAUAUCAAAUGGAACAAAAAAAAAAUAAGGCCAGUAGAGUUAUCUCCACAGGUGGCACUGCUGAGUAAACAAUGCUACCAGUCUGCUGACUACAAUAUUACACAGUAUAUUCAGGGAGUAUUUGGUUUAAAUCAAUGUUUUUAACCUGUUAUUAUAUGAAAAUUAUUUAACAGAAAGAAAUGUUUAUGGAUAAUUUUGUUUUUAUUACAGAACAAUUAUAUCGAAAUUUUAGCAAAAACACACAUAUUAAGUAGCUUUUUGUUAUUUAUAGGUACUUUUAUACUUCUUCUUUUGUUAAUUCUGAUAUCUUUAACUACAUUUAUCUCUUAGUCUAAUUCUUUUCAAUUAAUAUGAUUUUCAAAUUUUCAAAAAAAAAAAGUAGCAUCUUUAAUAAUGGGAAUUGCAUGUCUAGUCCAAGACUAUUAUUAUAUCUUUUUAGAAUUUUUAUUUUUAGAAUUGUGAGUAUAGCCAGUCUAUAUCUAAGGUCCAGUAUCAUAUGAUAAUAUUUAAAUCUGUAAAUUAGACUGGCAUUUGUCACAAUAACAUACAUUUUAAAAAAUCACAUUUUUUUUUUAUUUUGUGACAAGUUCUUUAUUAUCAGUCCUGCGGCUAGUCUAGUAUAGUCCACCUACUUGUGAUAGUCUUAAAUUGUCUAAUAUUUACCCAUUUCAACACAAUAAACUGGAAUGUAUAAGUAAAUAAAAUUUCCAUGUUCAAGGUUAAAUGUAUAGAUUUAGGGUUUCCCUUUAGAGGAGUCUUACAGAAUAUUGACAUAUAUAUUUGUAAUGUUCAGGGAGAUUAUUUGAGCCUAUCAUACUUAUGGAAAAUAUAUCAAACUUUCCAUGACAUUGAAUAAAAGGCUAAUACAUAUACACAUCAUUUUUAUUACGAACUUUGCAAAGGCAUAUUUUAUUUACUUUCAAGUAACUUUUUUUUUUUAUUGCGAGGUGCAGUGAAUAAUGCAUAUAUUAUUCAUAAUUUGUAAUUUUAAAUGUGUGGCAAAAUUUAAAAAUUGUUUUACAUUUAUAUAUAAUCUUAUGCAAAAUUUGUUUUUUAAUGAGCAGUUAUUUAUACUUGUAUAACACCUUUUACAUAUUGUUACAUACUAAAUUACAUAAUAUAUAAAUAACUUCUCCAACUACUAUGAAGCAAAAAAAAAAGUAUAAACAGUACUGUCAACUGAUGAAUGCAUUAGAGACAUUUUCAUCAAUGUACAGUUUCAGUUUUAGAUCAUUGACAUAUACCCAAUAUUAAACUAAAAAAAAUUAUGGACAUCUAAGUGUUGAAUUAAAUAUAUUUUUCAGGUAUAGCAUCAUAUGUGUAUAUAAAGUAUCAGCACACAUGAAUGAAUUGAGACAUGUUUAGUGACCCUAUGUAUUGUGUUCAAAGGCUCCAUCCAACCGUUCAAAGACACGUCAUAGCAGUGGAGCAAAUGGUGGCAAAUGAUGGCCUUGUGGUGGUUAGUGAAAAACUGGCAAUCUACAUUGGUGGUGGCAAACAUUGACAGAAAAUUCUGGACCAGCAGUGACAUUAAGUUGAAAAUAAUGACAUAUUUUACACUGUAUUGAAGAUGUAAUUGCGAAAAUUAUUUAAUAAAAAACGUUAUGGCUAUCAGUGGAAAACAUCGAUAUACUAUAAUAAGAGUGGAACUGACAUUUUAACACUAUUGUUUGAACUAUUAUAUAUCACCUAGUUCAAAAUUCAUAAGCAUUUUUGUUAUACUAUAGACUUGAAAAACAUAGUUAUUUAAAGACCUAAAUAAUAUCGUUAUUGUUCUAAAUUAGUUAAAAUGCUGACUAAUUUAAGAACAAUCAAAAUAAAAGGUUGAUUUACA